UCUAAUAUGGCAGAUUAGUGCAAUGAAUUUAAACUUCAUAUAUAAAGUUUCUUUUGUUAGAA
rnacentral:tRNA from 1 species